rnacentral:rRNA from 1 species
AUAACCAUUUGGAAACGAGAAUGCUAAUAACCGCAUAACAACAAAAGCCACAUAGACUUUUGUUUGUAAAGUAUAGGCUUUGACUAUCACUCUGGAUGGACCGUGCGGUGCAUUAGCUAGUUGGUAAGGUAACGGCUUACCAAGGCGAUGAUGCAUAGCCGAGUUGAGAGACUGAUCGGCCACAAUGGAACUGAGACACGGUCCAUACUCCUACGGGAGGCAGCAGUAGGGAAUCUUCCACAAUGGGCGCAAGCCUGAUGGAGCAACACCGCGUGAGUGAAGAAGGGUUUCGGCUCGUAAAGCUCUGUUGUUGGAGAAGAACGUGCGUGAGAGUAACUGUUCACGCAGUGACGGUAUCCAACCAGAAAGUCACGGCUAACUACGUGCC